AUGCAAGUCGAACGGGAAUCUUCGGAUUCUAGUGGCGGACGGGUGAGUAACGCGUAAGAAUCUAACUUCAGGACGGGGACAACAGUUGGAAACGACUGCUAAUACCCGAUGUGCCGAAAGGUGAAACCUAAUUGGCCUGAAGAAGAGCUUGCGUCUGAUUAGCUAGUUGGUGGGGUAAGAGCCUACCAAGGCGACGAUCAGUAGCUGGUCUGAGAGGAUGAGCAGCCACACUGGGACUGAGACACGGCCCAGACUCCUACGGGAGGCAGCAGUGGGGAAUUUUCCGCAAUGGGCGAAAGCCUGACGGAGCAACGCCGCGUGAGGGAAGAAGGUCUUUGGAUUGUAAACCUCUUUUCUCAAGGAAGAAGUUCUGACGGUACUUGAGGAAUCAGCCUCGGCUAACUCCGUGCCAGCAGCCGCGGUAAUACGGGGGAGGCAAGCGUUAUCCGGAAUUAUUGGGCGUAAAGCGUCCGCAGGUGGUCAGCCAAGUCUGCCGUCAAAUCAGGUUGCUUAACGACCUAAAGGCGGUGGAAACGGGCAGACUAGAGAGCAGUAGGGGUAGCAGGAAUUCCCAGUGUAGCGGUGAAAUGCGUAGAGAUUGGGAAGAACAUCGGUGGCGAAAGCGUGCUACUGGGCUGUAUCUGACACUCAGGGACGAAAGCUAGGGGAGCGAAAGGGAUUAGAUACCCCUGUAGUCCUAGCCGUAAACGAUGGAUACUAGGCGUGGCUUGUAUCGACCCGAGCCGUGCCGAAGCUAACGCG
rnacentral:rRNA from 1 species